rnacentral:lncRNA from 1 species
AUGAGGGGGAGGAGGGGAGAAAUUUUGGGGUCCCCCCCCCUGUGGCCCUGCCCGGGGGGGUGGUGGUUGGAUUUUGGGGUCCCCCCUCAAAGCAGGGCCAGCAGCAGGAGGGAGAGGAGCCACCCGGGGCCCCCCAUGGCGUGGCCGCCAUCCACCGGCAGCUUCACGCCCGUCUUCCGCUCCCAGUGGCCCGCGGGGCGCCCGGUGGCCCUACCGGCAUCACCGGCAGCCACCUUGGGGUCAACGGCGGCGGUUUUGGGGUCAACGGCAGCGGUUUUGGGGUCAACAGCGGCCGUCUUGGGGUCAGCGGAGGCCCCGUUGGCCUUGGCGGCGUUGACAUUGACGUUGGCCAAGUUGACGCUGGCGUUGGCCCCGUUGGCGCCGCCGUUGGCCCCGUUGGCCGCCGUGGUGGCCCCCUUGCUCUCGGUGGCCUUGGUGGCCCGGCCGGCGGCCACGUUGGCCUGGGUGGUGGCCACGUUGGCCUUGCCGGCCGUCCCGUUGACCUUGGUGGCCACCACGGCCGUCCCGUUGGCCAACACGGCGGCCCCGUGGGACCGGGAGGUGGCCCCACCGGGGCGCCCUUUGGCCUCCUCGGCGCUGCCGUUGGUUGCCCGGGUGCUGGCGGCCAUCUUGGCGUCAUCGUCGGCCAUCUUGGUGCCACCGUCGGCCUUCUUGGCGCCAUCGUUGUCCCCCUUGGCGUCGGCGUCGGCCCCCUUGGUGGCGUGGGGCGCGGGGGUGUGCGCGUGGCCGUGGGGCAGCAGCUCGAGGCGGGGCAGGUCGGGGGCGAAGAAGGUUUUGUUGGCCAGGUGGCGGUUGCAGAGGUUGCCGGAGCAGCAGGAGCCGCGCAGCGCCACCGCGCCGCCGUCGCCCCGCGCCGCCUGGGUGCAGCUCUCGUCCCGCACGCAGCCCCGCACCUCGCGCCACAGCGACACCGAGCCUGCGGGCACCCAGGGGUGUCAGCGGGGGGGGGGGGGGGCCCGCGGGGGGGUUGGGGGGGGGUGGGGCCCAUGGGGGGACCACCAGGCCCUGUAG